rnacentral:misc_RNA from 1 species
CCGAGACCCGAGCGGACAACUGUGAACCAGUAAACCCGCCCGGGAGAUCCGAGGGAGGGCGACAUCCGYCGCUUGCCCCGGUCUCCUUGGGCACCUAUGGCCGCCCCCGUCCUGCCUCGYUGCGGAACGGGCGGCGGGAACAAUACCCGGCGCGGUGGGCGCCAAGGACUAGUGCUUUAGAGGAUCACCGUGCGCUGCAUCGCCCAGCGACGCGGCGCAUGAUGUGGUCCGGUAAUCAUACCAUGAACUUUACGACUCUUGGCAACGGAUAUCUUGGCUCUCGCAUCGAUGAAGAACGUAGCGAAAUGCGAUACUUGGUGUGAAUUGCAGAAUCCCGUGAACCAUCGAGUCUUUGAACGCAAGUUGCGCCCGAGGCUAUUUGGCCGAGGGCACGCCUGCCUGGGCGUCAUGCCUUACAUCGCUCCGUGCCCCCCGCUUCCACGGGCACAAAUUUGGGAACCGCCGCACCGAUGCCGAGAUUGACCUCCGUGCCUUGCGCGCGCCGGUUGAAAUGACCGUCGCUGGCCCGUUCGAACCCGGGAAAUGUGGACAAACAAAAGGACCUUGAACGUUGUGUACUCGACCCUAGCCAAAGCGGCGCGUACAAGGAGCCAUCGGACCCUAGACCCUUGACNNANCCNGUUAGGGGGGCNCCUNANU